GGCUGUAUAGUGUAGUGGUUUAGCACUCGGGAUUUUGAUAUCUAUCGUCUUCCCGCAACCCCAGUUCGAACCUGGGUACGGCCU